ACUCAAAUGAAUAGACGGGGGCCCGCACAAGCGGUGGAGCAUGUGGUUUAAUUCGAUGAUACGCGAGGAACCUUACCAGGGCUUAAAUGUAGUGGGACAGGCUUGGAAACAGGCCCUUCUUCGGACUCAUUACAAGGUGCUGCAUGGUUGUCGUCAGCUCGUGCCGUGAGGUGUCAGGUUAAGUCCUAUAACGAGCGCAACCCCUGUUGUUAGUUGCCAGCGAGUAAUGUCGGGAACUCUAACAAAACUGCCGGUGCAAACCGUGAGGAAGGUGGGGAUGACGUCAAAUCAUCACGGCCCUUACGUCCUGGGCUACACACGUGCUACAAUGGCCGGUACAGAGAGCAGCCACUGGGCGACCAGGAGCGAAUCUAUAAAGCCGGUCACAGUUCGGAUUGGAGUCUGCAACCCGACUCCAUGAAGCUGGAAUCGCUAGUAAUCGGAUAUCAGCCAUGAUCCGGUGAAUACGUUCCCGGGCCUUGUACACACCGCCCGU
rnacentral:rRNA from 1 species